rnacentral:rRNA from 1 species
UACGGAGGGUGCGAGCUUUGUCCGGAAUCACUGGGCGUAAAGGGCGCGUAGGCGGCGCGGGGAGUCAACGGUGAAAGCUCGGCGCUCAACGCCGAGUCGGCCGUCGAUACUCCCGUGCUCGAGCACUGUAGAGGCAGGUGGAAUUCCGGGUGUAGCGGUGGAAUGCGUAGAGAUCCGGAAGAACACCGGUGGCGAAGGCGGCCUGCUGGGCAGUAGCUGACGCUGAGGCGCGACAGCGUGGGGAGCGAACAGG